rnacentral:rRNA from 1 species
AACGAACGCUGGCGGCAUGCCUAACACAUGCAAGUCGAACGAGACCUUCGGGUCUAGUGGCGCACGGGUGCGUAACGCGUGGGAACCUGCCCUUAGGUUCGGAAUAACUCCCCGAAAGGGGUGCUAAUACCGGAUAAUGUCUUCGGACCAAAGAUUUAUCGCCUUUGGAUGGGCCCGCGUUGGAUUAGCUAGUUGGUAGGGUAAAAGCCUACCAAGGCGACGAUCCAUAGCUGGUCUGAGAGGAUGAUCAGCCACACUGGGACUGAGACACGGCCCAGACCCGGAGGGGAGGGACGGGUGGGAAGAGUCGGAAAGGGGGAACGAGCCUGAACAGGCAGUGCGGGGGGGGUGCUGAAGGGCGUUGGUUCGAAUGGCCCUGUGCCCGGGUGUGAGGUUGACAGUGGCGGGAGAAGAGCCGCCGGCAACCCCCGGGCCAGCGGCCGCGGUAAUAUGGGGACGACCACCCCUUUCCAC